AGCACGUGAGCUGACUGUCAAGAAAAGCCGCUAUUGUUUGCAGGAUACCCGUACCGUAAACCGACACAGGUGGAUGAGGAGAGAAUCCUAAGGCCGACGGGAGAAGCAUUGUUAAGGAACUCGGCAAAAUGACUCCAUAACUUCGGGAGAAGGAGUGCCAGUAAGAUGGCCGCAGAGAAUUGGCCCAAGCAACUGUUUAGCAAAAACACAGGUCUAUGCAAAACCGAAGGGUGAGGUAUAUGGGCUGACGCCUGCCCGGUGCUGGAAGGUUAAGGGGAGAGGUUAGCGCAAGCGAAGCUUUGAACUUAAGCCCCAGUAAACGGCGGCCGUAACAAUAACGGUCCUAAGGUAGCGAAAUUCCUUGUCGGGUAAGUUCCGACCCGCACGAAAGGCGUAAUGAUUUGGGCACUGUCUCAACAAUGCACCCGGUGAAAUUGAAAUACCAGUGAAGAUGCUGGUUACCUGCGCCAGGACGGAAAGACCCCAUGGAGCUUUACUCCAGCUUGAUACUGGGAUUCGGUAUUGCAUGUACAGGAUAGGUGGGAGGCUAGGAAAUGGUAACGCCAGUUGCCAUGGAGCCAAUGUUGGGAUACCACCCUUGCAGUACUGGGUUUCUAACCAGCAGCCGUGAUCCGGCUGGGGGACAAUGUCAGGUGGGGAGUUUGACUGGGGCGGUCGCCUCCGAAAGGGUAUCGGAGGCGCUCAAAGGUUCCCUCAGAAUGGUUGGAAACCAUUCGAAGAGUGCAAAGGCAGAAGGGAGCUUGACUGCGACACCGACGGGUGGAGCAGGUACGAAAGUAGGACUUAGUGAUCCGGUGGUAUAAAGUGGGAUUGCCAUCGCUCAACGGAUAAAAGCUACCCUGGGAUAACAGCUUAUCACUCCCAAGAGUUCACAUCGACGGAGUGGUUUGGCACCUCGAUGUCGGCUCAUCGCAUCCUGGGGCUGAAGUAGGUCCCAAGGGUUGGGCUGUUCGCCCAUUAAAGCGGUACGCGAGCUGGGUUCAGAACGUCGUGAGACAGUUCGGUCCCUAUCCGGCGUGGGCGUAAGAUAUUUGAGAGGAGCUGUCCUUAGUACGAGAGGACCGGGAUGGACUGGCCGCUGGUGUAUCUGUUGUCUUACCAAAGGCAUAGCAGAGUAGCCAAGCCGGGAAGGGAUAAACGCUGAAGGCAUCUAAGCGUGAAGCCCCCCUCAAGAUGAGAUAUCUCAUAACGUCAAGUUAGUAAGACCCCUUGAAGACGACGAGGUAGAUAGGGCAGAGGUGGAAGUGUGGUAACACAUGGAGCUGACUGUUACUAAUAGGUCGAGGGCAUAAUC
rnacentral:rRNA from 1 species